CAUUUACUUGCUUACUCUUUCAAUUGUUUACUGGAAACAUAAGGAUAUAUUGAUUAAUUGGCGAUUGUUAGGUUCUUUUGGACUGUGGAGCUGUGCAAGCUGAUGCUCUGACUGUAGAUCGUCUUGCCUCCUUAGAAAAGUAUGUGGAAACAGCUGUGGUUCCUCGAGCUGAAAUCUUGAAAACAGAAGUGGAGUGGCUUCAUUCUAUCAAAGCUGAUUUCGUGGUGUCUGAUGUUGUCCCCGUAGCGUGCCGUGCAGCGGCUGAUGCUGGCAUACGUUCUGUCUGUGUCACCAAUUUCAGGUGACGUUUUUUAAUAUCCUACUUUCAGUUUUGUUUGGCCUCCUGAG